rnacentral:rRNA from 1 species
UGAAAGUCGGGGCCAGCGGGCGAGGUAAGACGGAGGGGGGGAGAGUGUGCCGGCUUGCCGGGGGGGAAAGAGCGGGCAGGGUGUCGUCCAAUGCGCGGGGGAAAGCCCCCGGCGCAACUGGGGAGGGUCACGCGAUACUGGUCGACUCGAAGGCAGGAGAGGGUAGUGGAAUUCCCGGUGUAGUGGUGAAAUGCGUAGAUAUCGGGAGGAACACCAGUGGCGAAGGCGACUACCUGGCCUGUUCUUGACACUGAGGCGCGAAAGCUAGGGGAGCAAACGGGAUUAGAUACCCGGGUAUUC